AAAGAUUAAGCCAUGCAUGUCUCAGUUCAAGCUAAAUUAAAGUGAAACCGCGAAAGGCUCAUUAAAUCAGCUACUGUUUCUUUGAUGGUACGAUCCAAUUUACUUGGAUAACUGUGGCAAUUCUAGAGCUAAUACAUGCAAACCGAGUUUCGGUCGCGCGAGUUCCGCGAGGGGUUCGUUAGCGAUUCGAAAUGCUUUUAUUAGAUCAAAACCAAUCGGACUCCGGUCCGUGAAGUCUUGGUGACUCUGAAUAACCUUAAACUGAUCGCAUGGUCACGCACCGGCGACGCAUCUUUCAAAUGUCUGACUUAUCAACUUUCGAUGGUAGGCUAUGCGCCUACCAUGGUGAUUACGGGUGACGGGGAAUCAGGGUUCGAUUCCGGAGAGGGAGCCCGAGAAACAGCUACCACAUCCAAGGAAGGCAGCAGGCGCGCAAAUUACCCACUCCCGGCACGGGGAGGUAGUGACGAAAAAUAACGAUGCAGGACUCUUUUUGAGGCUCUGCAAUCGGAAUGAGUACACUCUAAACACUUUAACAAGUAUCCAUUGGAGGGCAAGUCUGGUGCCAGCAGCCGCGGUAAUUCCAGCUCCAAUAGCGUAUAUUAAAGUUGUUGCGGCUAAAAAGCUCGUAGUUGGAUUUGCGUUUCGCGCAGUCGGUUCGCCGCUCGUCGGCGCUUUUAACUGACUCGUCGCGAAAUGUCCUGCCGGUUGGCGGAGCGGGGGCGGUGGCUCCGGCCAUCGCCUGAGUAACUUCGACGGAGGAGUGAACGGGUUCAAAGGGAGAAACGGGGCGUUUCUAGGCAUCGGCGGGGGGAAAACUCCGGUUUUCUCUUACCGCUAGUUGUCGGAGCGUCCUUUUCUUUUCUUUCCGUUUCAAUUAAAUUCCUUCGUUCUGCGUCCGUCAGUUUAUUUGAUUUGACAAAUCCCGUCGCGGUGCUCUUAACCGAGUGACGCGGCGGGCCGGCACGUUUACUUUGAACAAAACUGAGUGCUUAAAGCAGGCCAGUCGGCCGCCCGAAAGUCUCGUGCAUGGAAUAAUGGAAUAGGGCCACGGUUCUAUUUUGUUGGUUUUUUGGAAUUUCCGAGGCAAUGAUUAAUGGGGACAGGCGGGGGCAUUGGUAUUGCGACGUUAGAGGUGAAAUUCUUGGAUCGUCGCAAGACUAUCUAAAGCGAAAGCAUUUGCCAAGGAUGCUUCUGUUAAUCAAGAACGAAAGUUAGAGGUUCGAAGGCGAUCAGAUACCGCCCUAGUUCUAACCGUAAACCAUGCCAGCCAGCGAUCCGUCGAUGUUCGUUCAGAUGAUUCGACGGGCAGCUUCCGGGAAACCAAAGCUUUUGGGUUCCGGGGGAAGUAUGGUUGCAAAGCUGAAACUUAAAGGAAUUGACGGAAGGGCACCACCAGGAGUGGAGCUUGCGGCUUAAUUUGACUCAACACGGGAAACCUCACCAGGCCCGGACACCGGAAGGAUUGACAGAUCAAGAGCUCUUUCUUGAUUCGGUGGGUGGUGGUGCAUGGCCGUUCUUAGUUGGUGGAGCGAUUUGUCUGGUUAAUUCCGAUAACGAACGAGACUCUAGCCGGUUAACUAGGCGAAAUUCGCCCUAAAAAAGCGAAUAUUUUUCCGGCAUGAUUCCGAUCGCCUGUGGUUUUCAUUUCCCUUUUCGCGGCUUUCGUUCUGCGGGAGUUCGCGGGAGGGAAAGGGCCACGGAUCGAAAACACUGUCGGCGUAAAUAAAAUUUCUUCUUAGAGGGACAAGCGGCUUCUAGCCGCACGAGAUUGAGCAAUAACAGGUCUGUGAUGCCCUUAGAUGUUCUGGGCCGCACGCGUGCUACACUGAAGGAGUAAAUGGGUACUGGACGUCCUGGGUCGAUAGAUCCGGGUAACCCGUUCAAUCUCCUUCGUGCUAGGGAUCGGGACUUGCAAUUGUUUCCCGUGAACUAGGAAUUCCCAGUAAGCGCGAGUCAUAAGCUCGCGUUGAUUACGUCCCUGCCCUUUGUACACACCGCCCGUCGCUACUACCGAUCGAACGAUUUAGUGAGGUCUUCGGAUUCGUACGCGAGCGCGUCGUCCUUCGCGGCGACUGCUCGCAGCUGCGGAAAAGACGACCGAACUUGAUCGUUUAGAG
rnacentral:rRNA from 1 species